rnacentral:tRNA from 1 species
GGAGAGAUGGCCGAGCGGUUUAAGGCGUCGGUCUUGAAAACCGAUGCGGGGCAACCCGCCGGGGGUUCGAAUCCCUCUCUCUCCGCCA